CUAACCUUUGAGGUGUGUUUGGAUAUAUAAUCCAUGCAGAAAUGGAAAUUUCCUUUUAUUGGAUUGCAUUUUGUGCUAUUUUAGACAAUGAAUUAUAUGUCUAGAUGAAAUUUACAAUGAUCAUAUAUCUAGAAAUAUCAUGAUAUUUUGGCAAUCUAAUCUCAUGUUUGGGAUCAAGUAUCUAGAAAUAUGUCUAGAUUAUCAUGCAUACAAUGUGCAUAUAGAUGAACAUAUGGAUAAAAUACAUGCACGCUUGUUGGUUCUUCCUAGUGAAAGGGUUGAAGGCUUGAUUUCUCCUACAGGGAACUGACAUCUCUACAAGAUAAAUCAGAAAUUGACUGGUAGUAACUGGAAAAAAGUUUACAGAUGCUGGAAUUUGCAUUCGAAUGCUGGGAAUUGUGAUCAGAUUGCUAGAUUUUUUUACAAUUCUGGAAAACCAUUUUCUUACAAAGAAAGUUCGGCACAAGAACUCGCUCAGAUAUUUGUCCAAGAGCUGGCUUUAAAGGUAACAUUUGCUUAGCCUUUAUCAGCAAAUCUUUGGCUGACAGUUGUAUCAUCUCAUCUUUUGACAUGUUGUGGGUCAUCUUUCCAUGCUCAUAACUGGCCUUUGUUUAUCUACAGAUUUUUGUUGUUGUAAGCAUGGGGUCUUGUUCAUUUGCAUAUGUACUUGAGGAUUAAUGCUUCUUUUUUUUUUUGUUCAUUUUUUUAAAAAACUUUUCAAUGCAGCGAAUAAUAGCAAAAAAUGCUCUGAACCAUGAGUGGUUUAGUGAGGUCUCUCUGCCCAAAUCAAAAGAUUUUAUGCCGACAGUU